GACGAACGCUGGCGGCGUGCUUAACACAUGCAAGUCGAACGGAAAGGCCCUGCUUGCAGGGUACUCGAGUGGCGAACGGGUGAGUAACACGUGGGUGAUCUGCCCUGCACUUCGGGAUAAGCCUGGGAAACUGGGUCUAAUACCGGAUAGGAGCCAUUUUUAGUGUGAUGGUUGGAAAGUUUUUUCGGUGUAGGAUGAGCUCGCGGCCUAUCAGCUUGUUGGUGGGGUAAUGGCCUACCAAGGCGGCGACGGGUAGCCGGCCUGAGAGGGUGGACGGCCACAUUGGGACUGAGAUACGGCCCAGACUCCUACGGGAGGCAGCAGUGGGGAAUAUUGCACAAUGGGCGCAAGCCUGAUGCAGCGACGCCGCGUGGGGGAUGACGGCCUUCGGGUUGUAAACUCCUUUCGCUAGGGACGAAGCUUUUGUGACGGUACCGAGAUAAGAAGCACCGGCUAACUAAGU
rnacentral:rRNA from 1 species